AAAUUUGCAGUUAGUUUGCUCCCAGUGUUGCAGUGGCAGGAAGAAGGCUAGCCCAAAAGACAUAAUGAAAAUUAAGAUGAGGUUUUAAAAUCAACUGUAUGGUAAAAAGUUAAAAACCCACCUUGUAAACCUCUACGCUCCCUUUGGAAAAUGCCAUUUUUCACAGUUAGGUUUCGACUCCGAGCAAAACCGGUAUACUUUCACCUUUGCUUUGAAAGCUUGCACCAAGAUGUUGGACUUGGAAAAGGGUCGUGAUAUUCAUGAUGAUGUAUCUAGGAGGAACCUUGAAUGUGAUGUGUUUAUUGGGACCUGACUUGUCUCCCUCUAUUGUAAAACGGGUAAUUUAAAGAGCGCAAGGGAGAUGUUUGAUAAAAUGCCUAAAAGGGACUUGGUUGCUUGGAAUGCAAUGGUUUCUGGAUUUUCUCAGAGUUCAGAGCCGCUAAUGCAUUAGAGGUUUUUAGUACAUGCAGUUUAGUUGUGGGGUUCAGCCUAAUUCCGUAAGUUUGUUGAAUUUGUUUCCCGCAGUUUGCAAGUUCACGGACGAGAUGAUUUGCAGGUCUAUUCAUGGGUUUGUUUAUAAUGGCCUGAUUGAUAUGUACUCAAAAUGUGGACACUCCAAUGUAGCUCAUCAAGUUUUUUAUCAGAUGAGAGUGAGAAAUGAUGUUUCAUGGGGUACAGUGAUGGCUGGUUAUGCGUAUACUGAGAACUUCCGUGAAGUUCUGGAGCUUUUUGAUUGCAUGAAAAGAGAAGAUUUGAAAUGAAUAAGGUAUCUGCUAUAAGUGCAUUGUUGGGAGCUGCUGAGAUGAAGGAUCUAGAAAAAGGUGUGGAGAUUCAUAAUUAUACAAUUCAAGAAGGGAUUGAUUCAGACAUUAUGAUUGCUACUUCUCUAAUGACAAUGUAUGCUAAAUGUGGAAAACUCUCAUCUGCUGAAUUCCUGUUUCAUAAUUCUGUUGCUAAAGACGAGGUUUCUUGGAACACAAUGAUUGCGGGAUACGUGCAGAGUGAACCCGAGGUAUAUGAAUGUGGCUGUGUGUGCUAUGAAUUGUUUGAAAGUGAAAAUGAAGUAUACAUAUGCAGAAGGCCAUAGAAGAAGAAUUACACUGGAAAUUUAGGAGAUGUAAGCCAAACCAUACAUCUUCGGCUGCUUGGCAAAGGUGUAACCGAUCCAGAAAGGCUGUUAAAUAUGAAGGAAUCACCUGCAUCUUGUCCUUGAAGUGACGGUUUGCAAGAAGGCAGACUACUUCCAGGAUCUAAUAGAUGUUCGGUAAAAAUUGUGAGUAGAAACUAUCUUCUCAACCAACUUUUUACUAGAAGUUUUUGAUAUUCAAACUCUGCAACAUAAUCUCUCUGUUCAGACAU